rnacentral:lncRNA from 1 species
GAUUCUCUACUCUUCUAUGACUAAAACCCAUUAAUCUAAUCACAAAUCCAACCUUCAAUUUCGAUUUUUGAAUGAAAAUUGGGGUAAAGUUCUUAGGCCUAACUUUGAUGACUUGAAGAGGCAUUUGACCUCCGAUUUGGGAGGACUUUAUAUGGUUAGACUCGUGAGAGUACGAGGUUUUUGAAAAUGUUAAAAUUAUUUAAUUCUGAGAUGUUGGCCUGAGGGGCAUUUUGGUCAUUUCACCUAUUUUCGUUUAACUUUAUUUGAAGGGGCAUUUGACCUCCGAUUUGGGAGAUUUUAUAUGGUUAGACUCAUGAGAGUACGUGAUUUCUGAAAAUGUGAAAAUUAUUCGAUUCCGAGACGUUGGCUUGAGG